CUGGAGUCUCAGCUACAUCUAUGGCUGCUGGGCACAAAACAGUUUCUCCAGCACUGCAGAAAUGCAACUGUGAAGAGAAAUAGUCCAUCUGUGUUACCAUGCACGAAGAAGAGUUUUAUACACUGCAGCUGCCUGUCAGACUCUGACCCCAUCUGUAUCUAAAGAUGAAUGGUUUGACUACUAGCUGAAUAUCAUGGACAUAUUGAGACUCACUGAGGAAUGAUGCCUGUGAUCAGUAAAGCCAGCUGCAUCUCACAGAAGACAGAACAAAUAGCUGAUGUCACUAAGCCAUCAAUGUGAUCCCCACUUGUAAAUACCACUGGUCAAUCUCUUCCAAGUUGCAGCUGUGCAACCACUUCCAUUUGAACCAAGAUUUGCUGCUGAAACAGGGAAUCAUUUUCAUCACAUUAUUUUACAUACAUAUACCUCAGCUUUUUUCACAGCAGUAAUAUAAAAGGUGAAGGGCCUAAGGGAGGAUGUAGGAGGGCUGGCAUUCAGCAGAAUUCCCCAGAUUUCCCUUUUGGCAGAUGUGCUUCAAGUUCACUGAUGUAUUUACCCCAGUACUCAACAAGGACUAUGUAACUUACACAGCAGCAGCUUAAGCUAACAAUAUUGGCAGUGUCCCCACACCAAUUUUGUGUGAACUCACAAAAACACACACAGGGGAUACAAUGGCUUGAGCUGUGACUCUUCCUUUUUUCAUUGUUUCUGUUAUGUGGUUUAGGGAACAUCUUUUCAACAUUCUUCACAUGCUCCCCUUCCCACCAUCCCAAGAAAGGGGAGUGACAUUUAGUCCUCCAACCAUGAAGUUGUGAAAUGAAUUCCACACAACACCAGUGGAGGAAAAUUCCUCUUCUGAAAGCAGCCACAAGCUCUGAACACCAAGAUUACAUUAUGUCAUGCAAGCUGGCAUCAAUUCCAUCCUAAAGUCCAGCUCUGUGUUUUUUUUCACAACACCACCAUGUAAGACUUUCCUGAUGAUUGCUCAAAUUAACCAAUACAAUUACCUGCUUAACAAAUCCCCUCCACCAUCCCACUAACCUCUGAGGGAAAACUACACGGGCAGAAGAGCUCUGACCUCAGAUUAUCUGUAUCAAAAAGGUGAGAUUUAAAGUUUUCCAUUUCCUGUGGACAAAGAGGUGAAGAAAUCCUCAGUUACUCAUGUCAGAGAGCCACAAGUUUCUACUGUCUCUGGAUCAAGACAGAUUGGCAUUGCCACUUAGUUUGGCACUCCCUGACAGGACCUCUCUCAGAUUUUCUUUUCAACUAAUUCACACCUGCUCCAAGUCCCACAAAUAGGAUUUCAACAGCUCACUUGAAUAGGUUGAACUAGAUGCAAAACCACAGCUGAUCAGCAUCCUGGGCACCACUGCCAUCAUUUAGAGUUACACAGAUCACCUCACAAUGGCACUUUCAGCAGUUUCA